GUUUAUAAAGGACAGUUGGUCAGAAGCUGGUAAUGGUAUAAAUAUUGGAAGACCUGACUACCUGAGAGGAAAGAAAGCAAAUCUCUGAAAAGGUCUAGCCAUAAGUUAAGAAAGUGCCAACCAGAAAUGACUUCUGGUGUCAUUUCCGAUGGUCAAAAAAAUGGCUGAAAAUUGGAGGGCUUGCAGGGCAUUUCUGAAGAGCAAGAAGCAGAAAUAGUUUGGAAGAGCACAGGUACCUAAUGACGUCCUUGCUGGCACUGCAUCUUUAUUAAUCCAGAAGGAGACCCAGGAAAGAACAACGGUCAAUAUGCAAGGAAUGUAUGUCUGAAUUGUAAAAUACCCCAUACGUCUGCUCAGAACAAAGAAGAUUGUCAUGACAACAUAAUCCCCUAUAAGAAAACAACAACAACAACCCAGAAUCAAUUAUACCAUACAAGUGGUUUUCUGUUAGACAUUUCUGUUUGGAUUUUGUCUCAAAAUGACACUCUACUGUGGUUGAAAAUUUGCUACUGGGGAAGUGUUCUCUGAUCAAAUGGAAGCAAAAAAAUUACUAGAAAUGUUCAAAAUUAAUUAAUUAAAUACUGUUUUAACUUCAUUUUAAACUAUUGUUUUAAGGUUUUAAAUUCUUAUAAUGUUUUAACUUUUUGUUGUCAAUUAUUUAACCAGAGUUUUAAUUUGUCAUUUAUUUGUUUUAACUAAAGUUUUAACUUUUUGUUUUUGUUGUAAACCGCCCAGAGACAUAAGUUUUGGGUGGUAUAAAAAUAUGUUAAAUAAAUAAAUAGAUAGCUAGAUAGAGA